AUUUAUUAUUUUAAAUGGGACAUAACAUUUAUGCUACAAUUAUUAUAUAGUAGUCCGAAAAUAUGAAUUAUUUUUUCCAAAAAUACAUUUGUAGUAAGAAAUAUAUUUCUCCUUUUUUUGAAUUUCCACAUACAUUUUUUUCGACCAUAUAAAAAUUUAAAUAGUUCAAGAGCUCAAAACAUGCGCUACAUCAUCUCGAACCUACCUACCCGAUGCCUUUUCGCAAUUGAUUAUGUUAUGAUAACAAAUGCCCACAUACAGAUUUUGCAAUGGCGAUGGCAACAGAUUUGACAGUUAGUACCCUGCAAGACGGAGGUAACAGAUUGCACAAACACAUUGAAACAUUUUCAGCUGUUCACUAACACUGUUACAUUUUCUGGAAUUUUCAAUGGAAUGGGAGAAUACGAGAGGCGAAUACCCAAUAUUUCAAGAAGAAUAAACGAAAAGCGCAGUUUAUUUUGGAUUUUACAGAGAGAAAACGAAAGAGGUUAACAAGGAGAAAAAGAAAUCAUUUGGACCAUCAUCCGUGCAGCAACCAAAUAAUGGAGUAUGUUUAAAAUUAUUAAAGUUAAAUAGUGUAUAUUUAAUUCAAAUAUUUGUUAUAGAUUGUGCAUUUUAUUAUUAAAUAAAGAGAAAUAAUAAAUAAA